GACGAACGCUGGCGGCGUGCUUAACACAUGCAAGUCGAACGGAAAGGCCCUGCUUUUGUGGGGUGCUCGAGUGGCGAACGGGUGAGUAACACGUGAGUAACCUGCCCUUGACUUUGGGAUAACUUCAGGAAACUGGGGCUAAUACCGGAUAGGAGCUCCUGCUGCAUGGUGGGGGUUGGAAAGUUUCGGCGGUUGGGGAUGGACUCGCGGCUUAUCAGCUUGUUGGUGGGGUAGUGGCUUACCAAGGCUUUGACGGGUAGCCGGCCUGAGAGGGUGACCGGCCACAUUGUGACUGAGAUACGGCCCAGACUCCUACGGGAGGCAGCAGCGGGGAAUAUUGCACAAUGGGCGGAAGCCUGAUGCAGCAACGCCGCGUGCGGGAUGACGGCCUUCGGGUUGUAAACCGCUUUCGCCUGUGACGAAGCGUGAGUGACGGUAAUGGGUAAAGAAGCACCGGCUAACUACGUG
rnacentral:rRNA from 1 species